rnacentral:rRNA from 1 species
AUGGUUUAUUANGUCUGGUGUAAAAGGCAGUGGCUCAACCAUUGUAUGCAUUGGAAACUGGUAGACUUGAGUGCAGGAGAGGAGAGUGGAAUUCCAUGUGUAGCGGUGAAAUGCGUAGAUAUAUGGAGGAACACCGGUGGCGAAAGCGGCUCUCUGGCCUGUAACNNNNNNNGAGGCUCGAAAGCGUGGGGAGCAAACAGGAUUAGAUACCCUGGUAGUCCACGCCGUAAACGAUNNGUGCUAGAUGUAGGGAGCUAUAAGUUUUCUGUAUCGCAGCUAACGCAAUACAGCACUCCGCCUGGGGAGUACGACCGCAAGGUUGAAACUCAAAGGAAUUNNNNGGGGCCCGCACAAGCGGUUGGAGCAUGUGGUUUAAUUCGAAGCAACGCGAAGAACCUUACCAGGNNNNGACAUACUCGUGCUAUUCCUAGAGAUAGGAAGUUCCUUCGGGACACGGGAUACAGGUGGUGCAUGGUUGUCGUCAGCUCGUGUCGUGAGAUGUUGGGUUAA